GAUGAACGCUGGCGGCGUGCUUAACACAUGCAAGUCGAACGGGAAUUAUUUUAUUGCAACUUCGGUCGAUUUAAUUUAAUUCUAGUGGCGGACGGGUGAGUAACGCGUGGGUAACCUGCCUUAUACAGGGGGAUAACAGUCAGAAAUGGCUGCUAAUACCGCAUAAGCGCACAGAGCUGCAUGGCUCAGUGUGAAAAACUCCGGUGGUAUAAGAUGGACCCGCGUUGGAUUAGCUGGUUGGUGGGGUAACGGCCCACCAAGGCGACGAUCCAUAGCCGGCCUGAGAGGGUGAACGGCCACAUUGGGACUGAGACACGGCCCAGACUCCUACGGGAGGCAGCAGUGGGGAAUAUUGCACAAUGGGGGAAAACCUGAUGCAGCGACGCCGCGUGAAGGAAGAAGUAUCUCGGUAUGUAAACUUCUAUCAGCAGGGAAGAUAGUGACGGUACCUGACGAAGAAGCCCCGGCUAACUACGUG
rnacentral:rRNA from 1 species